CGCUGCUCCAUCCAAAACAAUGGGCCAGUCAUGAGCUGCGACCUCCCAAACGGAGCCACAUAAGCCUUUUCUGAGUGGAUCGUCUCAGGCGAGGUAGAAAAUAAAGUAACAACACCUCAGGAGGUCUCUGAUGCUCUAGGCGCAUGUGUGUUGGAUCUCCCCGCCUGAUCCUCAGUCACCUUCACUCUACCCCAGCCUCAUCAUGGAUUCGUGAAUAUGUACUACGUAUCAUAAUAUAAUGAAGAUCAGAGUGGAUUCUGGGACAAGCAUGUAUGCUGAGAGCUCUUAAGAUGACUCCGAACUCUGUCAGUAAUUCCUGUCACUCACACCUUGAGAGUCAAGGGGAGGCACCAGGCUGAGAGGGAGAAGCAAGCAGACCUUGGUGGGAAUGGGAAGUUGGAAAAGCAAGAGGCAUGGUCAGCGUGAUGGGGCCUGACACGUAAGGUGCUUCCCUGUGGUCACCCUGCUCCUCUGAU